CCUACGGGUGGCAGCAGUGAGGAAUAUUGGUCAAUGGACGUGAGACUGAACCAGCCAAGUAGCGUGAAGGAUGACUGCCCUAUGGGUUGUAAACUGCUUUUAUAUGGGAAUAAAAUGUGCCACGUGUGGGGUUUUGUAUGUACCAUAUGAAUAAGGAUCGGCUAAUUCCGUGCCAGCAGCCGCGGUAAUACGGAGGAUCCGAGCGUUAUCCGGAUUUAUUGGGUUUAAAGGGAGCGUAGGUGGAUUGUUAAGUCAGUUGUGAAAGUUUGCGGCUCAACCGUAAGAUUGCAGUUGAAACUGGCAGUCUUGAGUACAGUAGAGGUGGGCGGAAUGCGUGGUGUAGCGGUGAAAUGCAUAGAUAUCGCGAAGAACUCCGAUUGCGAAGGCAGCUCACUGGCCUGCCACUGACGCUGAGGCUCGAAAGUGUGGGUAUCAAACAGGAUUAGAUACCCGAGUAGUC
rnacentral:rRNA from 1 species